rnacentral:tRNA from 1 species
GUUUCUAUGGCUCAGUUGGUAGAGCAUGGUGUUUGCAAUGGUGUUUGCAACGCCAGGGUUGUGGGUUCGAUUCCCACGGGGGGCC